rnacentral:rRNA from 1 species
AUUGAACGCUGGCGGCAGGCCUAACACAUGCAAGUCGAACGAGUGGCGGACGGGUGAGUAAUGUCUGGGAAACUGCCUGAUGGAGGGGGAUAACUACUGGAAACGGUCGCUAAUACCGCAUACCAUCCGAUGGGCCCAGAUGGGCGGAGCUAGUUGGUGGGGUAACGGCGCACCAAGGCGACGAGCCCUAGCUGGUCUGAGAGGAUGACCAGCGACACUGGAACUGAGACGCGGUCCAGACGCCUACGAGAUGCAGCAGUGGGGAAUAUUGGACAAGGGGCGCAAGCCUGAUGCAGCCAUGCCGCGUGUAUGAAGAAGGCCUUCGGGUUGUAAAGUACUUUCAGCGGGGAGGCGUUACCCGCAGAAGAAGCACCGGCUAACUCCGUGCCAGCAGCCGCGGUAAUAC